AGAGUUUGAUCAUGGCUCAGGACGAACGCUGGCGGCGUGCCUAACACAUGCAAGUCGUUACGGGACUCUUUGGAUCGAGACUUCGGUCAAGUGAAGCUGAGUUUAGUGGCGGACGGGUGAGUAACGCGUGAGGAACCUGCCUCGGAGUGGGGGACAACAGUUGGAAACGACUGCUGAUACCGCAUAAUGUUCUUGAGGGGCAUCCCUUGGGGACCAAAGCUUAAAGUGCUCUGAGAUGGCCUCGCGUCUGAUUAGAUAGUUGGAGGGGUAACGGCCCACCAAGUCGACGAUCAGUAGCCGGACUGAGAGGUUGAACGGCCACAUUGGGACUGAGAUACGGCCCAGACUCCUACGGGAGGCAGCAGUGGGGAAUAUUGGGCAAUGGGGGAAACCCUGACCCAGCAACGCCGCGUGAAGGAAGAAGGCCUUCGGGUUGUAAACUUCUUUUACCAGGGACGAAGGAGUGACGGUACCUGGAGAAAAAGCUACGGCUAACUACGUGCCAGCAGCCGCGGUGAUACGUAGGUAGCAAGCGUUGUCCGGAAUUACUGGGUGUAAAGGGCGUGUAGGCGGAGGUGCAAGUCAGGAGUGAAAUGCAUGGGCUCAACCCAUGAACUGCUUUUGAAACUGCAUCCCUUGAGUAUNGGAGAGGCAG
rnacentral:rRNA from 1 species